rnacentral:rRNA from 1 species
GAUGAACGCUGGCGGCGUGCCUAAUACAUGCAAGUCGAGCGAACAGACGAGGAGCUUGCUCUUCUGACGUUAGCGGCGGACGGGUGAGUAACACGUGGAUAACCUACCUAUAAGACUGGGAUAACUUCGGGAAACCGGAGCUAAUACCGGAUAAUAUAUUGAACCGCAUGGUUCAAUAGUGAAAGACGGUUUUGCUGUCACUUAUAGAUGGAUCCGCGCCGCAUUAGCUAGUUGGUAAGGUAACGGCUUACCAAGGCGACGAUGCGUAGCCGACCUGAGAGGGUGAUCGGCCACACUGGAACUGAGACACGGUCCAGACUCCUACGGGAGGCAGCAGUAGGGAAUCUUCCGCAAUGGGCGAAAGCUUGACGGAGCAACGCCGCGUGAGUGAUGAAGGUCUUCGGAUCGUAAAACUCUGUUAUUAGGGAAGAACAAAUGUGUAAGUAACUAUGCACGUCUUGACGGUACCUAAUCAGAAAGCCACGGCUAACUACGUG